GAAAACAGAUUCAAGACAUUACUGUAUCACUCGAGAAGAAGUUGAAGUCUAACAGGAUCUGCUGUGUGCCCAAAUGUCACACCACUGGCUAAGGAUUGUUAGAAGGCCAUGGAAAGCCCAGCUAUCAUGCAUUUCCAGCUGAAGAUGAUCCAGUUCAAGCUGUUUGGUUGAAUAAAAUACGAAGAGAUGAAGACAGACAUUUUAAGAUAAGUCACAAUACGGUUGUCUGUUUUCUCCAUUUUGAACGUGACUGUCUUGAUGAAUCUGGAUUUGCUAAGCGGAGGUAUCUAAAACCAGGAGCCAUCCCUACACUAUUCGACUGCUGGAAGGACAAACCACAUCUGUUGAAGCGAAUUCACGUGGAACGUGCAAUUAACAAAAUUAAAAGUUUUCACAUAUUUGAUCAGGUCAUUCCGGUUUCUCUGUUUGGGACAAUUAAUCAAAUUUGGACAGUUUGCUCAUUGCUCACUCUUUUCCAAGACUCAAUUAUAUCAUGUCCUGGUGUUUAACAUACAUACCAUUUAUAUGAACAUAU